rnacentral:lncRNA from 1 species
GCUAUGCAAGGCGUGACUUUGCUCCUCCUUUGCCUUCUGACAUGAUUGUGAGGCCUCCCCAGCCAUGUGGAACUGAAGAGGAAAUUUGGAUAUGUACAGAGGGAAGAUGAUGUGAAAAGGUACAGAGAAGAUGACCUUCUACAAGCCAAGGAGAGGCAUCAGAAGGAACCAAACCUGCACACACCUUGAUUUUGGACUUCCAGGCUCCAGAAUGGAUUAAAAAAACCCACGCUGCUGAUAUCCUUGUCAGCCUUUUCCUGAAUCAUUGCUGUGCAGCUCCAGGGAGCCACGGGCCGGUGCCUUCUGACCGGCAGACUCCGUCCAUGGGCCUUCCUGUCCUUGGGGUCCUGGAGCUCUCUGUCUGAGCCUCCUUGGCCACUGAAGCAACACCCAGAGGCCUGCAUCCUCUAAGAAAUGCCAGCCAGGGUUGCAGAUGGAGCCAAGAAUUGAAAAUCUGGCCGAGUCUUUCCAUCUCACAGAUGAGCAAGCUGAACCUCAGAGGGCUUAGUGAUGUGGUUGAGGCACAGCCACCAAGGAUCAAUGACUGAGCCUCAAAACCACCUCUUCUGAGAGUACUGCUUUCUUACCCGAGGAUGGCCCAUCAGGGUGAUCUGGAAGGCAGAAGACGGGAGUUUUUCUGUGAACUCACUGUGGUGGGGGUGGUCCUUGGAAAAGUACUGAGUACACAGAAGUGGCGACGGGCAAAUGGAGAUCCUGGAAAAGGAGGUUUUCUACCAAAAUAUCCUUGUGAACAUGAGGACAGCUUCCAAACUGAGAAAGAGUGGGCUCGAGAAAGCUCUAAUGCUUCUUUCCCUGACACGAAGUGCUUCGUGCAGUGUUUGGCAUCAACAUGUCGGAGCCGUGGCAACGUUCUCCGUGCAUCCCCGCUUGGGCGUCAUUUUAAAGGGCCCACCUUGUGUACGAGAUGCACUUUGAUUUACUGACUUGCUUACGGAGAAAGGAGUCGUGGAAAUGUACCUGGCUGUGGUGUGUCCCCCAAUCAAUCUCUUACACAUAGAAUCCUGUUUUGGCUUCUGCUUCUCAGAAGACCCCAAAUGACAUAGAAGGUCUUGGAGAAGAGUCCAACAGAGACAUAUAUUCACAGACACGUGUACAUCUUUAUGCCCACACAGAAGGGUAACAGCAGCCUUGCUUCAGAGGCCACACCUUCCAGGAAACCCUUCAGCCUGCCGUGUCUUAGCUGAUCCCUCUGCCAUCCCCUUGCAGAAGGAGCUUGGAGUCUCUCAGCUCAGCUGGACUAGAUGAAUCUUCUCAGGGUCGUCUUCUCCCACCUCUGGCUCCCAGUUCCUUCCCCCAGUCUCUCCCUCCCUGCUCUGUGUGAUCAGGGAAGCUGCAAACCCAACCCUUACAUCAAAAGGGAACUUGAAAAAUACUUGGAGCAAAAACUGCUAACUGUGCAUCCUUGCUGUAUGCUGGCGCUGAUAUUAAAUCAGGAAAUGGCACUGAACAGCCGCUCCGAACACAGAAACAGGGGUUGUCAACACAGCAACCAAAAGCAAUCUCUAACGGGCAGAGGUGAAAGGGACCUGGCACAGGGCCAGGAGGGGGGCUGCAACCCAGGAAAGAAUUCCUGAGCUGAGUGUGUCUGUGCCACCUCUCCAGUGUCCAGAAUGAAGCCUGGAUCUCAGUCCCUGGCAUGGAAUGCACCUUGUCUCUCUCCAUGAGGGAUGAAAGAUAAUUAGAUAAUUAAGCAUGUUGCUUAAAUACCUUUGAAAUUCUCCUUUUUAUUUCCAUACAUGUUUACCGAGCACCCACUAUGUGCCUGACAGUCCAAUAAAAAAGAUGCCUUCCCAUGUGGAGAUGACCUUCUAGCCCUCAGGACAGAACUCUGACCCUUUGACAUGGCAUUCAAGGUCCUUCGAGUGUUGGCUCCUGCAGAAGCUUUCAUCUCUGUUUCCAGCCUCCCUGAAAUAGCUCCCCAAGGGCACGAGGCAGUACCUUUGCUCCAUGCCUUUGCUUGGACUAGUCCUACCACCAGCAAUUCCUGCAUUUCUGUGUUUGGCAAGUUUCUGCUCAGCCUCCAAAGCCUUAACCAAGUGUCACCUUUUCUCUGCAGCAUUUUCUGCCACCCUCCCCAUUUCUUCCAAUAGAACCAGGGAUCUUUUACUUGGGAUCCAGAAGCACUGUGGACAUAUUGCCAUCACAACACCUUUCAUGUCACAAUGGCAAGGUUUGCACUGUCUUGGAGGAGAGGAAGGAAGCCAUAUUCAUCCCUGAACCCUCAUCUCCCAGCACUGGUUGUAAAACUGAAACAAAAAUGGAAAACCUUGAUGAAAUUCAUUGUUGGUGUGGCUAUGGGGAAACAGAUUUUCCAUUUCUGAUAGUAAAUGAAAUAGGCACCAUCUUGUUAGAGGCUAAUUUGACAUUAUUAACACUGAAAAUGCACACAUCUUUCAACCCAGCAAUUUUAUUUCUUGCUUUCUAGAGGAAUGUUUGCCCAUGUGCAGAAAGGCGCAUGUAAAAAGCUGAGUUGCAGCAUUGUUUGCAAUAGUAAAAGAUUUGAAAUUGCUUAAAUGUCGGUCAAUAUGGCCUGGAUAAAAAACUAUAGGGCAUCCAUUGGAUAGAAUGCUAUGCAUUAGUUAAAAAGAAGUAGAUUUCCAUGUAUUGACCAAGCAUUUGCUGAGUAAAAAUCAAAAGCAAGCUGUAGCUCUAGACAUAGAUGUUAAAAUUACAUUGCUGCAUUUUUUCACAA